rnacentral:tRNA from 1 species
UCCCUUGUGGCUAAGAUGGUAAAGAAUCUGCUUGCAAUGCAGGAGACCCAGGUUCCAUUCCUAGGUUGGGAA